rnacentral:rRNA from 1 species
UACGUAGGGUGCAAGCGUUGUCCGGAAUUAUUGGGCGUAAAGAGCGCGCAGGCGGUCGAUCAAGUCGCGUGUGAAAGCCCCCGGCUCAACUGGGGAGGGUCACGCGAUACUGAUCGACUCGAAGGCAGGAGAGGGUAGUGGAAUUCCCGGUGUAGUGGUGAAAUGCGUAGAUAUCGGGAGGAACACCGGUGGCGAAGGCGGCGACCUGGGUCGAUACUGACGCUGAGGCGCGAAAGCGUGGGGAGCAAACAGG